UUUUUUUCAUAACAUUAACAUAUUUAACUCCUACAAGCAAUUACUUCAAUGGCCAAAGAAUACAGGAAAGUAGAGAGAGCACUUGCAAAAGUGAAUCUCAUUUUGUUUUGCAAAUCAUUAUUAAAAAGUCACUCUUGAAAAAUGAAAGAGCGAGCAGGGAAGAGGUCAGGUGUAAUGUAACCGAUCUGCUCAGGAGGAAAAUUCCCAUGUUGAGUGCAGUGUUAAAUCAAUGAAGCUUAGCAAAUUUUAGAGAGGAACAUUUAUAGUUACUCCUUCAUAAAGUAAUUGAAACAUGUUUCUGUAGCACCCUCUUCCCUUGCCUUCACUUUCUCUUUGUUCCUCUCAGAGAGGGCUAUGGAAGAUGACUUGGUAUAAACAGGGGAUUACUUUCCUCCCUCAUUGCUCACUCCCCAUUUGCUCUGUUUUGACAGUACAGACCAUUACUAAAGCAGUAACACAAAUACAAUUCUGCUCUCUUCACAGUACACAGGGGCCACAGGUACUUUUACUUACAGAAAUUGAAGCAGAAAGGGAUGAUCAGUAAGCCAGGUCAUUCCCAGGUUCUAUUAGGAUUCUCAAAAGCCAGAGGAGGUUUUUUAGACAACCAAUCUUUUUAUGCUCUGCUCUCCCCCUCUGCACAGGAGUGGGGCUGGGCCAGAUCAGCAUCACCCGCUGCGCCAAAGCCCCCAGGGUAGGAAGGAAAGGAAAGGGUCCUGGCACUGCUCUCCUUUCUGUGGACCCACGCACAGGCAAAGCAACAACCACAUGCUCAUUCUUGGAAGCAGUCUGCCUGCUAAUGCUGCCUUUGAAAUAUUCUAACAUCACAUUACAGCUCCAGCUGAGCAGUAAUGCUACCACUAAGUCCUAGGAAUUCAGAAAAUUAAUAAAUGAUGUCAAACUUUCGAAUUCUCCCUCCUUGGUCUUGAAAACAACAAUCAGUUCCAUUUCCUAGGUUGGGUACAGUUGUUUGCAACAGAUACAUAAAUCUGGAACACAUCCACAUCACUCCAGAUUAACACCACUACAAACGAGCAGAAUCCAGCCCUAUGGUUUCACCCUUUGAAAUGUUUUCUGGCAUGUUUCAUUUUGCUGAACUGCUUUUGAUUGUGGAUCUCCCGUCUCAAAAACGAUUCAUACAAACAAAAAGAAGCAUUUAGCAAAAUUUAAAUCAUAGCAAAAUUUUGAAUUACAGUGGGUUUCAUAUCGCCUUCUUUUUCUUUCACCCCUACUUGCUGAACAAUGCCUAAAUUUAGGACACGGACUGUAGGGUCUGAAGAUGCAAGCAAAGAAUCCUACUGACAUCAAAAACUAUUUUCACACGAGCAAGGUGAACAGGAUUUGGCCCAGAAUCCCUAACGGGGGGAGAAGCUGAAGGCAAAGAAACCGAAAAUGAGAAAUUGAAUUGCCCAAGGCUCAGUAUCACCAUGUCAGCACCAAUGUGGGCACUGCUCCAUUUUAUUUUACACAGAGACAUGAACUUUAGCUACAUUAAAAGCCAGCUCUAUCUACAGCUGUUCUUUGAUGUCUAAGGCCAGAUGGUUUCCAAAAAAGACUUACUCAAGCCAUUGUAAUCCACACCAAAAUGGAAGCCAGUAAUGCUAACAGUAGGAUAAUGUGAGAGAAUGUGCAGUGAGAACUCGGAAAGAAAAAGCAAAGCUGAUCAGAAUCAGUUGCUCUGCUCCAUCUAUUUGAUGAACGGCUGCUGCUGCUGCUUGUCAUCACAAGUUCUGUUAU
rnacentral:lncRNA from 1 species